UACGGGGGGAGCAAGCGUUGUCCGGAAUUAUUGGGCGUAAAGAGCUCGUAGGCGGUGUGUCACGUCGGCCGUGAAAACCUGCAGCUUAACUGUGGGCGUGCGGUCGAUACGGGCAUCACUGGAGUUCGGCAGGGGAGACUGGAAUUCCUGGUGUAGCGGUGAAAUGCGCAGAUAUCAGGAGGAACACCGGUGGCGAAGGCAGGUCUCUGGGCAUUAACUGACGCUGAGGAGCGAAAGCAUGGGGAGCGAACAGG
rnacentral:rRNA from 1 species